rnacentral:rRNA from 1 species
GAUCAUGGCUCAGAGCGAACGCUGGCGGCAGGCCUAGAACAUGCAAGUCGAACGGAUCCUUCGGGAUUAGUGGCGGACGGGUGAGUAACACGUGGGAACGUGCCUUUGGUUCGGAACAACUCAGGGAAACUUGAGCUAAUACCGAAUGUGCCCUUCGGGGGAAAGAUUUAUCGCCAUUAGAGCGGCCCGCGUCUGAUUAGCUUGUUGGUGAGGUAAAGGCUCACCAAGGCGACGAUCAGUAGCUGGUCUGAGAGGAUGAUCAGCCACACUGGGACUGAGACACGGCCCAGACUCCUACGGGAGGCAGCAGUUAGGAAUCUUGCGCAAUGGGGGAAACCCUGACGCAGCCAUGCCGCGUGAAUGAUGAAGGUCUUAGGAUUGUAAAAUUCUUUCAGCGGGGACGAUAAUGACGGUACCCGCAGAAGAAGCCCCGGCUAACUUCGUG